GUGAAGAACGUAGCGAAAUGCGAUAAGUAAUGCGAAUUGCAGAAUUCAGUGAGUCAUCGAAUCUUUGAACGCACAUUGCGCCCUGUGGUAUUCCGCAGGGCAUGCCUGUUCGAGCGUCAUUUCAACCCUCAAGCUCUGCUUGGUGUUGGGCCCUGCCCGCUGCGGCCGGCCCUAAAGACAGUGGCGGUGCCGCCUGGCCCUGAGCGUAGUACAUCUCUCGCUCCAGUGCCCGGUGGUAGCCUGCCAGAACCCCAACUCUCGUGGUUGACCUCGGAUCAGGUAGGGAUACCCGCUGAACUUAAGCAUAUCAAUAAGCGGAGGA
rnacentral:misc_RNA from 1 species